CGUCAAAUCAUCAUGCCCCUUAUGGCCAGGGCUACACACGUGCUACAAUGGCGCAGACAAAGGGAAGCGAAGCCGCGAGGUGGAGCAAAACCCAGAAAGAGCGUCCCAGUUCGGAUUGUAGUCUGCAACCCGACUACAUGAAGCCGGAAUCGCUAGUAAUCGCGGAUCAGCAUGCCGCGGUGAAUACGUUCCCGGGUCUU
rnacentral:rRNA from 1 species